rnacentral:misc_RNA from 1 species
AAGAAAGCUGAGAUGAAUAUAUCAUUAGUAAGACCAGAAAACUCUUAAGAGAGUAUUAUUAGAGUUGUCAUUUCUUUAUUAUUAGAGUUUUCAUUUCUUUUUAUUAUUAGAGUUCAAAACACAAAUGCCCAAUGUUAAGUGGGGGAACAAGAUUAAAUCAGUGCACGCCCUCGUAUGUUUCAGAAGCUCGAUCCACUCAAAUGUGCAAAUUCAUUGUCCUUUCCAUUGUUACUACUAGCUCAAGCAACAAUG